CCUACGGGUGGCAGCAGUGAGGAAUAUUGGUCAAUGGACGAGAGCCUGAACCAGCCAAGUCGCGUGAAGGAUGACUGUCCUAUGGGUUGUAAACCUCUUUUAUAUGGGAAUAAAAUGUUCCACGUGUGGGAUUUUGUAUGUACCAUAUGAAUAAGGAUCGGCUAACUCCGUGCCAGCAGCCGCGGUAAUACGGAGGAUGCGAGCGUUAUCCGGAUUUAUUGGGUUUAAAGGGUGCGUAGGUGGAUUGUUAAGUCAGUUGUGAAAGUUUGCGGCUCAACCGUAAAAUUGCAGUUGAAACUGGCAGUCUUGAGUACGGGAGAGGUGGGCGGAAUGCGUGGUGUAGCGGUGAAAUGCUUAGAUAUCACGAAGAACUCCGAUUGCGAAGGCAGUUCACUGGACUGCAACUGACACUGAGGCACGAAAGUGUGGGUAUCAAACAGGAUUAGAUACCCUAGUAGUC
rnacentral:rRNA from 1 species